CGUUAGUGGUGCCCAUAGUGGGAUCCCCAGGGGUUAAUGCCGUGUUAUCUCAGGCAUCCCCAAGAUUAGGUGUGAAACGAUCGUCGCCAACACUGCCUCAGAUUCCUUGUAAGUUUUAAUGUCUAUUCUACACACACAUGUUAAGUUUUAAUGUCAAUUGUGCGCAUAUCUCAAAUGUCUUGGCAUAAGUUAUUUGUUCAUCUCAAAUUCCGUAGGUCUUUCACAUAAAAGAAAAAGAAGGAAACUUAAAUCUGAAAUCUGGAAUGAUUUUGAUCCUGUGUAUGAUGGCAACAAACUCAAGGAAGCCCACUGUAAACAUUGCA
rnacentral:lncRNA from 1 species